GUUAAGAUGGCAGAGUCCGGUAAUUGCAUAAAAUUUAAGCCUUUAUUCC
rnacentral:tRNA from 1 species